GCCAACAGGAAUUGCUGCUGAGCGCGCCAAAACAUCCGGCCGGCAAACUUUGCACAUGAUACACAAGAGAUUCUGAAGUUGCCAAAAUAGCUCAUCUUCCAGAACAUCAGGAAGAAAGCAAUUCUUCUGGUUUGCCAUGAAAACAAGAAGACUGUUUACUAAAGCUUUUUACAGGUUUCAGUGGGAACUUACACCAGCACUUUGCUACUAUGAGCUUCUAUUCCCAGACAAAACAUUGACAUGUUGUUUGUGACGGACCACCCACAAAGGUGACACAAUUAUGCCCUUUGGCAAAACAGGAAAGGAUUUGUAUACCUCAGUUAUAAAUCUCAUAUAUGCAAACACAUACAUGCAUACAUAUGAACUAGGAGUUAAGCUGAAUGUAAAAUUCCAUUAAUUGCCAAUAUCCUAUGUCUCAUACAGUUUAUGAAAAAUGUAGGCAAAUUAAGCUGCCAGCUAAUAAAGUAAUAUUAAUCAAGAAAUAUGAUGGCAAUGAGUGCCUUAACAGAAUUUGUGUUGGCAUUUCUCCUGAUUCGUAAUUUUCUCAAAAAUAUAUUCUUAGUGAUGAAAGAGAUCUCUACAUAGUAAUAAAACUGGUUUAACUUUUAUGAAUAAUGAUUAAGACAUACCAGACAUAUUUUAGGAUGGCAAUAAACAGAGUCAUUUUAUUGUGCAAUGUAUCAGCUCGCUUCAGAAGUUAUUAUAGUAUGUUCUAAUAUGUUUUUAUUUCCAGCAACUAGUCAUAAUAUUAAUAAUAAUAAGUUGACCAAAGAAACUCCAAAAUAUUCUUUGGACAUGGUCCUUCAGUAGUAAUUUGAUCAGAUCCAGAACUCAGGAACUACUAUAAGUGUUAACUCUAGUUAGUCUUAGUCUGGCUAAAGAAGUUAAGUAGCAUCAAUUACAUAGGUUAUGUAGAAUCAGUGCUGAUUAAUAUUUGGAUGAGAUUCUUCUAGGCAACACAAAUGUUGUAGACUAGAUGGGAAAUAAGACAAUAACCAAACACUUCUUUAUUGUUAUGAAGAAAACUGCAUGGAUAUAUCCAUUAAGCCAUCUUUGGUUGAGCUCAUCUUGAAGACGUUUUAAUGUUUUAUUAGUUUGAAACUGGAAGUUCAGAUCCCAAAUACCCAUGAUUCAAUAUCUGAAAAAAAUAAAUUAGUGACUUUGACAUUUCAUUAGUUUCAUUUCUAACUAAUUGGCCAGGACUAACUGUCUGAAUUCAUGGGUAUCUACAAAAGGAGGGCAAGUGAUAAAACAUAUUUCAUAAUGUCUUCCCUCUUUACUUUCUUGAAGUACAAAAGGCAGAAUUUGACUCAUGAUACCAUAAAUCCUUUUUUAAAUUUUGCCAUCAGUGUGGAAGCCUCCUUUGUAAUUAAAACCCAUGGAAAACAGACAAAACAGACCAAACCCAAACUCAAAUGAAAUUAAUCAGUAAAUCCAAAUGUCCCAAUAAUAAAUCACAUUAAUGUGCAAUGACUUGUGUGAGCAAGCAAGGCAAGCAAUUUCAGCAAACAGUAGCUCAAAAUGGCAGAUUUUAAUACCCCCCUUUCCCCAACACUCAAAUGCAAAAUAAGCCUUAUUACUUGCAAAGAAUAAUAUUUGUCUGAUGAGUUCUUCUUUCCUUUGCCACCUUGUAUUUUCUAUGCUAAGACUGGUCAGUUGUCUGGCUGGUGAUUUAGACACAUUUUCUCAGCUGAACCAACUUUAAGAUGUGUGGACUUCAGCUCCUGGAAUUCCCUAGCUAUUCUGGGAGUUAAACUCUACAUAUCUUAAAGUUGCUGAGAUUAAGGAACAUUAGUUCAAACCAAGAAAUACAGUAUCCAUACUGAAGAAGCCAGCCCCAGGGAGUGUCCUCUAAAGGAGAAGAGUCUCUUCCUCCUCUUCUUUGUCCGUCCUCAAGAUUUCCAACACAACUUCUGAAGGGUAGUUUUCCAAGUAUUUUCAAAAUGUAUUCUAACAAUAUUCUAAUUGUCGUUGUGUGUGUGGGGGGGGGAUCCAUUCAAAAUUGUCAUUUUUGAAAACUGGAACAGGUAAAUAUUCAAGGCAGUUUUUAUUUUAAUGUUGAGGACAAUAGUAAAAAAGAAGGUACGUAAAUGGGAAAAAAUCCCUUGUGUCCUCCUUUUUAUUUGGUAC